GAAAUGCGAUAAGUAGUGUGAAUUGCAGAAUUCAGUGAAUCAUCGAACCUUUGAACGCACAUUGCGCCCCUUGGUAUUCCAUGGGGCAUGCCUGUUCGAGCGUCAUUUGUACCCUCAAGCUCUGCUUGGUGUUGGGUGUUUGUCCCCGUCUCCGCGCGUGGACUCGCCCCAAAGUGAUUGGCAGCCGGCGUACUGGUCCCGGAGCGCAGCACAUGUCGCGCAAACGAGUGCCUUGGUACGGCGGCGUCCAUAAGCCCCUCUCUCACGCUCUUGACCUCGGAUCAGGUAGGGAUACCCGCUGAACUUAAGC
rnacentral:misc_RNA from 1 species